CGCCUUUGAGAAGUUUUGCUUAGAGAUGUGGGGAAAAUCACACAUAAAACUUUCGAACAACCAAAGAUUGCAGAUGGUGACGUGUGAAUGUGGAGUGAGUGGUAGUGCUGCUGCUGCUACCACAACGUUGGCCGUUGGCUAUGUCUUGCGCCUCCGUUGCAAGUUUUGUUAAGGUUUUGGUGCUGCAAUCAAACAACUUCUUCUUUGAUUUCCAUACGGUUGCGAAAUAAAAUGUUAACCACAAAUGGAUGCAAUGCAGAGAGAGACUUCUAAUAUCAAACGAUGACUCUCAGCAACUUCAGUUCGUUUUUUUAAAAUAGUCGCUAUCCAAGGCUCAGACCGCAGACAUCGCGCAUCUAUAACCAAUAUUGCCGUUUUUGAAAGGUUCCUACCAAAAUUGGCGGAAUUUUAUUCUCUUGGUAGGUUAAAGUACUUACUGAAAAAAUUAUGUAUUCGUUAAGAGUGCAGAACAAAACCAUGGAUGUCGAGGGGACAAAUACUAUUACUUCAAGCUUCAGUAAAAAAGCUCUGAUAUUGACUGUAACUUGUGCGAGUGUUAUGGGAUCCAAGUUUCGUAAAUUCUUAUUGAUGCGGCUUUUGUGCCUUCCAUCGGAAAACAAGCCUAUAUGGCAGCUGCAUACCAAGAUGGUCAGAACUGACCCAUAUUCAGAGGUUGAGAGAUCCAUGAGAGGGCCAUGCAAUUCAGUGCAACGGCAAUAUGGGUAGUAAGAGCGCAUUACAAUCGGGACAUUUAAAUCGGGAGAACGGUUUAUCCAAACUGGACACGCUUAUUCAUUGAAAUCGGGGCACGAAUAUGACUUUAUGAACCCAAGAUUUCUUAUCGGGAUAUCGGUGUAAAGGGUGCUAUAUCAAGAGCUUUGAAUGUAAGUCUAUAGAGUGAUUUCAACAAACAGAUUGUCGGAAAUGUCUAAAUUCUUCAUGAAUAACCACGCUCCAAUUCUUUGUAGUGUUGAAAAUGUAUAAUAUGAUGUGAUACAAUUGGAGUGGCAAAGUGCCCAACUUUUCGGUGGUGGGUAUAACAUCAUGUAGCAGUUUUGGCUGGUAGAACAUUUGGUUGGUUUUGGUAGGAUUUUUCUUAAAUUUUGGUAGAAAAAAAUUUUCUUGAGUGGCAAAACUGUCUAUAACCCGUUGUCUUUAAGUUAAUUAUUGCCUAUGUAUCGAUAAAUCACACACAAAUAAAGACAACCUUUUUUUAUA
rnacentral:sRNA from 1 species